rnacentral:lncRNA from 1 species
GAAAGGGAGGAAAGCUAAUUUUUUUUUUAAUCCAGGAAUGAGGCUACACUCAUUUUAUCUUGAUGCCAAUCCACUAAAUUAAGUGCUAUUAGUCCCCUUUUAUAGUUGAGAGUGCCAGUGCAUAGAGAAUCUAAGUAAAUUGUCCAAGGUCACCCUUUUGCUGAGUGUUAAAAAAAUUAGUGAGGCCAUGCGUGGUGGUCCACACCUGUAAUCUCAGCACUUUGGGGGUCUGUGGAAGGCAGA